GCCGGGUGUGGUGGCGCAGACCUGUAAUCCCAGCUACUCGGGAGGCUGAGGCAGGAGAAUCGCUUGAACCCGGGAGGCGGAGGUUGCAGUGAGCCGAGAUAGUGCCACUGCACUCCACCCUGAGCGACAGAGCGAGACUCUGUCUCAA
ensembl:misc_RNA Metazoa_SRP Metazoan signal recognition particle RNA